UGUUAAUUCCUCUUUCCCUUUUUUGAAAGCCACUCUUGUUUCCUCCAACCUUACAACCCCAUCUGGACAAACUCGCCCCCCUUUCUCCCUUUCAAACCAUUAUCCACACCUUUGCCACAUUCAUCCUUAGGGAAUUCCUUGUAUUAGAAGAGAACAAUAGCUACUUUCUACAGCUCUGAACAACCCAGGAAGACUAUUUCAGACUAUGCAUCUCAGAGAUAUAAAAAUUGGUAAGAUAUAGAAGAGAUGACAUUGAACUCUGUAAGGUCUAAUUCUGGCUCAGUUACAUACUAACUGUGUUACUUUGGACAAGCCACUUAUGAUUAUAUUAUACAAUGGUUGAACAACCAUUUGUUAAUGUCCUUCCAUCACAUAAUUACUUCUGUAAAGAGAGACUAACCCUAUAGUCUAAAAUUGUAUGUGAAAUAAAAAGGAAGAGGUAAAGCAUCUUAAGGCUUCAUAAAGGGGGUGGAGGUGGAAACUUCAAAUGGAUGGUUUGCUUCUUUUAAACUCAACUGAAAAAUCUUAAUUAAAAAUAACUUUAUUACAAAAUAAUUAACUGUGGCUGAGCCCUUGGGUCUCCCCUCUCUAGAACCUGGCAUGAAAGUUCACAUGUAGGACAUGUCCAUUAGUAUAGUACAUAUAUUGGUAUGAGGAAGGAGAAGAGAAAUGAAGCAUACCGAAGUCAGCUAACAACAAUAAUACUGUGUUAUUCCAUCCAUUCCAUCAGGUAAAAUUUUCUUUUAAAGGAGGCGACACCUUCAGUAUCAUGCUAGGUACGUCCUUUCUCCCCAUCUUUCCUCUCACUAAAAUUUAGAAAUGGAAUCUACAUCCUUUCUUACUAGCCUUUCCCAAAG
rnacentral:lncRNA from 1 species